UACGUAGGGUGCGAGCGUUGUCCGGAAUUAUUGGGCGUAAAGGGCUCGUAGGCGGUGUGUCGCGUCGGCCGUGAAAACCUGCAGCUUAACUGUGGGCUUGCGGUCGAUACGGGCAUCACUGGAGUUCGGCAGGGGAGACUGGAAUUCCUGGUGUAGCGGUGAAAUGCGCAGAUAUCAGGAGGAACACCCGUAGCGAAGGCGGCACUCUGGGCCGAUACUGACACUGAGGAGCGAAAGCGUGGGGAGCGAACAGG
rnacentral:rRNA from 1 species